AAUGACCUGGCGGCAUGCCUUACACAUGCAAGUCGAACGGCAGCGCGGGGCAACCUGGCGGCGAGUGGCGAACGGGUGAGUAAUAUAUCGGAACGUACCCUGGAGUGGGGGAUAACGUAGCGAAAGUUACGCUAAUACCGCAUACGAUCCAAGGAUGAAAGUGGGGGAUCGCAAGACCUCAUGCUCCUGGAGCGGCCGAUAUCUGAUUAGCUAGUUGGUGGGGUAAAGGCCUACCAAGGCAUCGAUCAGUAGCUGGUCUGAGAGGACGACCAGCCACACUGGAACUGAGACACGGCCCAGACUCCUACGGGAGGCAGCAGUGGGGAAUUUUGGACAAUGGGCGCAAGCCUGAUCCAGCAAUGCCGCGUGAGUGAAGAAGGCCUUCGGGUUGUAAAGCUCUUUUGUCAGGGAAGAAACGGUGGAGGCUAAUAUCCUUUGCUAAUGACGGUACCUGAAGAAUAAGCACCGGCUAACUACGUGCCAGCAGCCGCGGUAAUACGUUAGGGUGCAAGCGUU
rnacentral:rRNA from 1 species